rnacentral:lncRNA from 1 species
GCGAUGUGCAAUAACAUCCAGAAGAAUAAGAAGAAAACAUUCAUCAUCGCAAGCAAUUGCCACCCACAAACAAUCGACAUCUGUAAAACCAGAGCAGAUGGUUUCGAUCUUAAAGUGGUGACAUCGGAUCUGAAAGAUUUCGAUUACUCUUCUGGUGACGUUUGUGGAGUUCUGGUUCAGUAUCCCGGCACCGAAGGUGAAUUAUUAGAUUACAGCGAAUUUGUGAAGAACGCGCACGCUAAUGGUGUGAAGGUCGUCAUGGCUAGCGAUUUGUUGGCUUUGACUAUCUUGAAACCUCCUGGUGAAUUUGGAGUUGAUAUUGUGGUGGGUUCGGCUCAAAGAUUUGGAGUUCCGAUGGGUUAUGGAGGUCCU